AAGUCGACAAGGUUUCCGUAGGUGAACCUGCGGAAGGAUCAUUAACACGUAUCCAAACGUUAAACCCCCCUGUGAACCUUCACCUGUACUCGUACGUCCGUUAGAAAAAGCAGCAAUCCCUGGUAAAUCAUCGCCGAACAGUUUUCGAUUCAGGGAUGUCUGCAAGGAGCGUGCAUGUUGUGCGAGCAAGUGGCCUGGCAUCCCCAAGCAGUUAGUGUCUGAAAGUGUCAUUAACUGUGUAAGGAUGACGCAGUCACGAUCGUUGGAGGCCCACACGGCCGACGACCGGGUCACUGGGCGCAAGCCCCCCUAUAACAAACGCUGCUAAUCGCGGCCGCGAUAAUACGCAGUCGACCAAAAACCGAACAACUGUUAACAAUGGAUAUCUUGGUUCUC
rnacentral:misc_RNA from 1 species